UACGGGGGGGGGCAAGCGUUGUCCGGAAUCAUUGGGCGUAAAGAGCGCGUAGGCGGCCCUGUAAGUCCGCUGUGAAAGUCAAGGGCUCAACCCUUGGAUGCCGGUGGAUACUGCAGGGCUAGGAUGUCGGAAGAGGCGAGUGGAAUUCCUGGUGUAGCGGUGAAAUGCGUAGAUAUCAGGAGGAACACCGGUGGUGUAGACGGCUUUCUGGACCGUAACUGACGCUGAGACACGAACGAGCGUGGGUAGGCAAACAGG
rnacentral:rRNA from 1 species